UCGAUUGUGAAUAGUUACCUUCAGUGCUGGCCUUGGUGCAUGUGCACGUUGGUGACUUUCAUCCACACACUUGUGCACCUUUGGCCUCAUGCUGGCUUCGGCUGGCAGAGGAUUUUUAUACACCCACUCGAAUGUAAUGAAAUUAGUGUGUUGUGCGCAAGCACGAAUGUA
rnacentral:misc_RNA from 1 species